GGGCAUUCACACUCCCUCCCCAGUCAUCCUAGGGAAUACAAACUCCUGUCUGUCUGCUACAUAGCUCAAGAGAAAGCUUCCAAAGAAAGAAACAAAUAGCAGCCAUUAGCAGCAACCUGAAAACUGAAGUUUGCUAUAAAACAUGGUUAUGUGGAGCCCACAGUAUCCUCAUACAUCUCAGGUUUCCAUGUCCCCUGACGGCACGGAGAGAUUGAUCUACACCAUCUAGUUUCACCAUAUUUCAGCUGGACUCUUCCUGCAGUGACAAUCAGGUGACCUGUCUCAGUUGACCUCAGGUGACCUGGAUGGCUGUGAAGACACACAAGGCAAUGAGGAAGCACAGGAACCUGCUAAGCAGCUACACAGGCCAGCCUGGAGGUGCCCAGGGAUGCCACUAAAGAAGUAACAGUAGCUUCCACUAGAAGAGGGACCUUUGGUCCCUUAUUCCUGGGACAAUCCCAUGCUCACAGUACACUUCUCUCUUCCUCUAACUCUCUGACUCUGCUUCUUAUCAUUUUAGCCGCUUGUUUCUUUCUAGUUCUACUAUGGCUCUGUAGAAUUAAAGUUUCUAACACUGGAAGUUGCCCAUGAAAUAUCACGGGUUGCAUCAGUGAGUCACCUCCUCUACAGGGCAGAAUUCAUACAUUAGGCUUCCACAGAGCCCUCCGGUAAAUCUAAAUCCAAAUCUCCUUUGACCAUGUUAUAGAUUCCUAACCAGUUCAAUCAUGGCCAAUUAUCAGGGUCACAUGACAGAAAGUGUGGCAAUAUACAUACAGAGAAUAGACUUUGCUAGUUUGCUCUAAAGGCAAAUUGCACAUACUUUGUUAUUACACCUAUAAUGAUAUAGUAUAAUUAUUUCUUCAUAGUCCAGUCCCCUCCACGGUGAUAGUCCUAAUGCUGCAACUAAAGAUGCUCCAGUGACAGCAUCUUCAUCUGGGCACCUCUGGCACAUAGCAUGGCACCUGGUACAUGGCAGACUCUCAUUAAAGACCUGUCAACGUCAAUUGAAAUAAAGGAAGAAUCAAAAAAUAUGAAUUAUGAUAUGAGGAUGCAGACGCAUAAUAGCAAUUGGUGGGGGGAGCA